GAUGAACGCUGGCGGCGUGCCUAAUACAUGCAAGUCGAGCGAACAGACGAGGCGCUUGCUCCUCUGACGUUAGCGGCGGACGGGUGAGUAACACGUGGAUAACCUACCUAUAAGACUGGGAUAACUUCGGGAAACCGGCGCUAAUACCGUAUAAUAUAUUGAACCGCAUGGUUCAAUAGUGAAAGACGGUUUUGCUGUCACUUAUAGAUGGAUCCGCGCCGCAUUAGCUAGUUGGUAAGGUAACGGCUUACCAAGGCAACGAUGCGUAGCCGACCUGAGAGGGUGAGCGGCCACACUGGAAGUGAGACACGGUCCAGACUCCUACGGGAGGCAGCAGUAGGGAAUCUUCAGCAAUGGGCGAAAGCCUGACGGAGCAACGCCGCGUGAGUGAUGAAGGUCGUCGGAUCGUAAAACUCUGUUAUUAGGGAAGAACAAAUGUGUAAGUAACUAGGCACGUCUUGACGGUAACUAAUCAGAAAGCCACGGCUAACUACGUG
rnacentral:rRNA from 1 species